ACAACACUUUUACAUGUCAGUAGCCUGUGAACAGGUUUUACAGUGUAUGUUUAACAAACAUUCUUCAUCAUUAUACAGAGACGGGGUAGAAUUCUGUUAGAUAUAGUCCUAUCAUUACUUUAAAUGUAUACAUCAUUGUCAUUAUACAUAAAAUUAAUAACAGUAAUGUGGAUCUCCUAUUGUAGGUAGGCAGGUAGGUCAUGUGGAUCUCCUAUUGUAGGUAGGUAGGUAGGUCAUGUGGAUCUCCUAUUGUACCUCCCUCUCCGGUAGGUAGGUAGGUAGGUAGGUAGGUAGGUAGGUAGGUAGGUAGGUAGGUAGGUAGGUAGGUAGGUAGGUAGGUAAUGUGGAUCUCCUAUUGUAGGUAGGCAGGUAGGUCAUGUGGAUCUCCUAUUGUACCUCCCUCUCCGGUAGGUAGGUAGGUAGGUAGGUAGGUAGGUAGGUAGGUAAUGUGGAUCUCCUAUUGUAGGUAGGCAGGUAGGUCAUGUGGAUCUCCUAUUGUAGGUAGGUAGGUAGGUAGGUCAUGUGGAUCUCCUAUUGUACCUCCCUCUCCGGUAGGUAGGUAGGUAAUGUGGAUCUCCUAUUGUAGGUAGGCAGGUAGGUCAUGUGGAUCUCCUAUUGUAUCUCCCUCUCCGGUAGGUAGGUAGGUAGGUAGGUAGGUAGGUAGGUAGGUAGGUAGGUAGGUAAUGUGGAUCUCCUAUUGUACCUCCCUCUCCGGUAGGUAGGUAGGUAGGUAGGUAAUGUGGAUCUCCUAUUGUAGGUAGGCAGGUAGGUCAUGUGGAUCUCCUAUUGUACCUCCCUCUCCGGUAGGUAGGUAGGUAGGUAGGUAGGUAGGUAGGUA